CGUCUCCUCAGCAUAGCCUCCAGCAUGGCCUGGCUAUUGCUGCCAGUUUCUAGGCUGUGCACCUCACCCCUUUGGCCUUGUAUCUGGGACAGUUUUCACAUCUACAGCUCAGUGCCAGGGCAGACCCUGCCUGGCUCUGAAUCCCACCUAAGUCCCAGCCCCCCAGAGCAAACACAGAGCCGACAGCAGCCUGGAACAGACGCCUUGAUUUACAGUCAAGCGGUCCCUUCCUUCCCCGCCCCUCCUUCCACCCCAAUCACCAGUACGAAACUGAAGAGUUGCAGUUGUACAGGCAAAGAGAUUGGACAGACUGACUCGACUUGAACAGAAUCUUCUUUCUGAAGCUGGAGCUCCGGUGGUGCAUACAUUGCUUGUCAC
rnacentral:lncRNA from 1 species